UGGAGCGGUGGCUGAGCGGUUGAAAGCACCCGACUUGAAAUCGGACAGGCCGAAAGGCCUCGGGGGUUCGAAUCCCUCCCGCUCCGU
rnacentral:tRNA from 1 species